GAUGAACGCUGGCGGCGUGCCUAAUACAUGCAAGUCGAGCGAACGGACGAGAAGCUUGCUUCUCUGAUGUUAGCGGCGGACGGGUGAGUAACACGUGGAUAACCUACCUAUAAGACUGGGAUAACUUCGGGAAACCGGAGCUAAUACCGGAUAAUAUUUUGAACCGCAUGGUUCAAAAGUGAAAGACGGUCUUGCUGUCACUUAUAGAUGGAUCCGCGCUGCAUUAGCUAGUUGGUAAGGUAACGGCUUACCAAGGCAACGAUGCAUUGCCGACCUGAGAGGGUGAUCGGCCACACUGGAACUGAGACACGGUCCAGACUCCUACGGGAGGCAGCAGUAGGGAAUCUUCCGCAAUGGGCGAAAGCCUGACGGAGCAACGCCGCGUGAGUGAUGAAGGUCUUCGGAUCGUAAAACUCUGUUAUUAGGGAAGAACAUAUGUGUAAGUAACUGUGCACAUCUUGACGGUACCUAAUCAGAAAGCCACGGCUAACUACGUG
rnacentral:rRNA from 1 species